ACACUGGCCCCUCUGAAGCAGAGCGAUGUGACCCUGGACGUACUCAGCAUUGGUGAUCUCAGUACAGCCACUGUAGGGUUCAGCCACAGUCACAAAGCCUCGUACCUGCACACAGGAGUAAAGAAGCAGGACAGGAAACUAUUCUAGGAGAGGAUGCACUCUUUUAAAAAUACUGGGGAAAAGUGAGUGACUCUCUUAGGAAAAACAAACAGGAGGACAGUUAGGUGCCCAUUUGAAACCUGGCAGCUUGGCAGAGCUACAAAACCCACUCACCCCUGUGGAACUUUUGGACAGGUCUAUGCCAAACUGUGCUGGGCCAGCAGUCAGCACAACCCUGCCAAAGAAUGGAUGUGAGACGAUCUGAAUGGCUCUGGGAGGCAGCUGCUCUUUCUGCUGCUGGCUGGACAGCUCCAUCAUCUCCUGCAUGAAACGCACGCCAUCCUCUGCUGCUACCGCACUCACCGCCUAGGUGUGGAUGUGCCAGAGUGGGAGAGGAGAGGAAAAGAAACAGAGGGUUUUAAAAAGUCGGGAUUGAAAGAACACCGUGAUUUGUAGAGCUGGGACAAAGAAUAUAUCCUCAAGUUUAGACGAAUCUCUUGAUGCAAUGUACACCAGUUUCACAGUAUGAUCUCUUGCUUUUUUACAUUUAAACAGUAGAGACGCACAAGCUGUUGCAAAGAUAUUAUGCACUUUAAUGCACACUUCAUCAUGCAGUAUGCAAUGCAAUAUCAUUGUUCCGCUUUUUGACGAAUAACUUCACAUUUUAAAAGGUAGUGUUUCCUCAUUAGUUCUAGAGAUAGUUUGUUUUAGAGAUGAGUGUCUUGCAGUAUUUUGCAUACUGCAGGAUUGCAUGUGCUGAAAAAGUAACAGUGUUGUAUCAUUAGCUACUCUGUCCUUCCCACCCCUAGUGAUUAGAACAAAACAGCUGAGGAGUAGUAUACUAUUAAGAAAUUAAGAAUUAUUUCAGCCUUGGA